ACUUGAUCUAUGGGUCAGGAAAGUAGCCUCUCCAUUUGCUCUGCUGUGGCCUCAGCUUUUAAGUAAUUCAUUCAUGGAACAAAUAUUUCCGAGUAAAUAUGCUUCCUGUGUUCUAGACAGUGUCCCAGGUGUUCAGAAACCACAGUGACAAAAUAGGUUAGAAAUUUCUAUCAAAGGAUAAUUUCUUUUUGGGGGGGGGUAAUUGAGAAGACAAAGUUUUAAGAAAAAGAAUUCAUAGGAGUUCAUGUUGUGGCUCAUCAGGUUAAAAACCUGACUAUUCUCUGUGAGGAUGUGGGUUUGAUCCCUGGUGUUGCUCAGUGGGUUAAGGAUCCUGCUUUGCCACAAGCUGCAGCCUAGGUCACAGAUAUGGCUCAGAGCUGGUGUCACUAUGGCUGUGCUAUAGGCUGGCAGCUGUAGCCAUGACUUGACCCCUGGCCCAGGAACUUCAUAUGCCAUGGAUGUGGCCCUAAAAAGAAAAAAACAAAACAAAACAGAAUUUAUAAAUGUAUAGCUUUGCAUCUGUAUGUGUAAGAUAAGAAUUAAAAUGGGAGGAGACAAGCAAAGCAGAGAUAAACAUGUGGGUUUCGUUCUACAGGGAUUGGCUAAGAAAGUUUGAGAAUUGACAUCUCACUGAUAAAUGCAAUCAUUGUUUGUUGAAGGAUGAGUGUUUUAAAAUAUGAGUUGUUUCUGCAUCAAAAUAUCUGUGAGGUAGCCUUCUUCAAGUAAAAUGCAGAGAAGGCUUUCAAGCUCAUACCUAUGAAAUCAGAUUGAAGCUAAACUAUUACCCAGCGCAUAGCUUCCUCCUCCACUGUCUCCCUCAUCCUCUGAAGUGGCUAAGAACCACUACACUGGAGCUGACGAGGGCAAGGCCAUGAUGCAGAUGCAGACAUUGCUCAGCCCCCUUUGUGAGUGAAGGUGUGCAUCCUUCUCAACCAAGCAGUAUGCCUUUGUUCCAGCCUCACACUCCUCUUCCAAUUUCCAGCUGUGACCUUCCCAGUUCAUUUUUUUUUUCUGCUUUUUAGGGCCCUACCCGUGGCAUAUGGAGGUUCCCAGGCUAGGGGUUGCAUCAGAGCUACAGCUGCUGGCCUGCGUCACAGCCACAGCAAGACGGGAUCCAAGCUGCGUCUGUGACUGACACCACAGCUCAGGACAACACUGGAUCCUUAACCCACUGAGCGAGGCCAGGGAUUGAACACACAACCUCAUGGUUACUAGUCAGAGUACAAUGCAAGUGUGAAAAAGAAGCCACGCAGCGCUUUUUCUGUGCACAGGCACCAGCAGUAAUUGCAGAGCCAUGAUACAUGAUAACCAUCUCAGCUCAUAAACGAUGGUACAUUUUAAUCAGAUUUUCAAUGUUAUGCAGGCUCCAAGUAAUUACAGUUAUUUUUGCCUUAAAAUUGAACUACUUUUAUGAAAAUUCUUUUAUUAAGUCUUUUUUUUUCCCCCUUUGGUAGUUAUGAAAGAUUGUAGAAUUUCUGAGUCAGAUGUCUGGGCACAAGAUGUCCCUCAAAUACAAGAUCUUAUUUUUUUAGAGGCAGGAUGAGAUCCAAAAAGGUGAGCUUGUUGACCAUGGACUUGGUAACCCUGGAGCCUGGAGAGGAGGCAGGCUUUUCUGUCACCUCUGCCAGCUCUCGUUUACUCCUCUUCACUUUUAUCUUGAUGCAGUGCUUUAUUUCCCCCUUUCAGCAUGCCCUUUGGUCUAUUUUUCCAUUUUCUCUGAGACAGUUGUUAUUUUUGUUUUUCGGAUGAGAAAAGAAAGGCUCCCUUAUGUUAUGGUUUGUUCAUCCCAAACCAUGUACCACCGGUGGAGUGCUCUAUGUUAGGUGCUGUGCCAGGGGUUCAAACAGUGUGUGCUGGCACCCCUGGCCAGGAAGGAGGGCAGAUCCAGGAUGGGAACCCAGGUCCCCAGUCCAGCCUCAGGGCUUUGUCCAUUUCAGUCUGCCAAAGACUUAGGACCCACUGAGGGUACAAACCGUAUUGUUGCUAAUAUUCAUAACCAUCCCGAAGAAGAAUGGGCUGGAAGCUACCCUAGUUCAUGCUUUGUGGAGCUGUCCUGGCCAAGCCCUGCCCACAUUGCAGGUUUGUGAGCAAAUAAAAAAGAUGGUUGUUGUUUUAAGUCACUAAGUGCGGGGUGUUUUCUUAUGCACCAAUAGAUAACUCCUGCCCUGAACUUUCCUCUCUCCCUGGGAGUUUGUCGUUGGACCUAUAAAUAUUACACAUAUAAACAUCCACACGCAGUGACACAACACUGACAUGCCAGGGCCAUCAAGGGAAACAGGAAGGUCUGUGUCUCUGCCCCCAGGCCACGUGACAGGCAUGACAACUCCAGGAUGACCAGGCUUGUGACCCAGGAGGCAAUACACCGAGGGUGUUCCAUGCACACUCUAAAGUCCUAGCAAAACUUUAUGGUGUUACCCCUGUUUUACCGAUGACAAAACAAAGCCUUCUGUGUCUUACAUAACUCACCCCAGGCUGUGUAGCUCCUGGGCGGCAUAGCUGGGGAUUAAACCCAGGCUCGUGUGCCCUGUAAUUCGUGGUCUCACUGAAGCACCAGUGUCCCCGGGAAGGAACUCUGUCUCAGUGGGGUUACAGACUGGGACAGAUGUACCAGUGCCCAGUUCCCUCACAAGCCACGGACAUGCUUUGAAUCUUCUUUCUGCUAGAACCUUCUCUGACUGUCCCCUUGGUUCAUGGGGGUGACUGUGGGAGCCUUCUCAUUUGAGAGGCUGCCGGGUAUGCCUCAACUCACGCCGUUUGAGCUAAUUGUGUACAAUUUAGCAUUCCCAAAGCGCUGACAGUCCUCCUUCAAACCAAGUGUGAAAGUUUUUAAAUUAGCUUUCACAGUUUGAUUCACAAGCAGCAAAUGCAAAGCGGCAGAGGAUUAAUUUUUCCAACCACCACGAUGGCAUAGCUGAAGGCUAUCCUAGCUCAUUUCCUACAACAGUGAGAGAAGAGGCUGGACCGAGGCAGUGUUCUUAGGAGAAUAACGUUCUAGAAGGGAUCUCAGUGCUCUGGUUACUGAAAGCAUCAGAUCUGUAAGUUAUGCAUGGGCCGCAUGAACAGCACGUGUGAAGAGCAGAGACUUCGGGAUGCGGGGGUCUUGGGUGUUCCUCUUACUGUAGCAUUUUUGAAGCGUUUCAUUCGCACAUACUGGUUGUCUGAAUUGGGGCAGGUCAGUGCCCCUUCUUUAGCCUCCAUUUGCCUCAUUCAUUGUAUAACAGGGAUCCUAUUUCCAAGGAUCUGGAAGGCUUGGUUGAGGGUAAAAUGAUACAUGGCUUGGCACAGAGGUUGACAUCAGAGAGAGCUCAGCCAAUCAGAGCCGUUUUUCUCAAGUAUCAUCUUGAGCUUUGUUUUCCUGCACAGUUUUCACUGUUUUAGAUAGGGAUUUUUUUUUUCCCCCUAGAAAACAUUUAUUGAGCAUCUGCUGUGUGCCAAGUGCCCAGCACUGGAGAUAAGUUGAUAACAAAACACAGUUCUGCCGUGAGGGAACUCUCAGUGCGGAGACAGACACAUAAUAGCAGCCUUAGGAUACAGCAUGGAAAGGUAACUGCAGUGAGGUGUAUAUCACCUCACUCAGGUCAGAAUGGCCAUCAGUGAAACGUCUACACAUAAUAAACACUGGGGAGGGUGUGGAGGAAAACGAACCCUCCUACACUGUCGGUGGGAGUGUAAUGCAGCCUCUGUGGAGAGGAGUAUGGAGGUUCCUUAAAAAACGAAAUGCAGAGUUACCAGCAAUCCCACUCCUGGGCAUCUAUCUGGAGAAAGCCAAAAUUGGAAAAGCUAAAUGCACCCCAGUGUUCAUAACAGCACUCUUUACAAUAGACAAGACAUGGAAGCCACCUAAAUGCCCGUUGGCAGAUGAAUGGAUGAAGAAGAUGUGGGAGAUUAUAUAAUGGAAUAUUACUUAGCCAUGAAAACGAAGGAAAUAAUACCAUUUUCAUCAACAUGGGUGGACCUAGAGAUUAUCAUACUAAAUGAAGUAAGUCAGAGACAAAGAUCACAUGGUUUUGCUUAUAUGUGGAAUCCAGAAAAAAAAAAAGAUGCAAAUGAAUUGAUUUACAAAGUAGAAAUAGACCCACAGACAUAGAAAACAAACUUAGGGUUACCAGAGGGGAAAGGGAGAGUGAGGGAUAAAAUUAGGAGUUUGGAAUUAGCAGAUACACAAUACUAUCUAUAAAAUAGCCAGGAAGGACCUACUGUAUAGCACCGGGAGCCCUUUUCAAUAUCGUGUAAUAACCUAUAGGGGAAAAGAAUCUGAAANUGUGUGUGUGUAAAAGAAAACCGGGGGGAGAAGCAAAGUUUCAAAAGAUGUGUAGAACUCACCCAGGUAAGGCGGUCCAAAGGGAGUUCUAGGCAGAGAAAAUAACCUACAACAAAGCUAAGAGGUAAAAUGCGGUAAGGUUCAUUUGAGGGAAUUUCUGGAUGCCUCCAUAAGCUUGGGGAAAACUCUACGUGAGCACAUAGCUUAACGUGCCUCCAUUUCCUCACCUGUAAAAUGGGCGUAAUGAUAGAACCUGCCUCAUAGGGAAAAGUGAGGCAAGUCCAGGGAUGUCCUUGGACUAGUGCUUGCCCAAAGUAGCAGAGAGUGUUUGCAAUUAACGUUACGUGACGUUGAACAGUGUUGAAUAGGUGUCAUUACCGAAGAGCUUCUUGGGACUUUGAUCAUGUCAGGGUGCAUUCUGGAUCCUCAGAAGGGAGGGCUUACUGCCGUGUUCCCUAAAGCUAUCUGACCAUUAGCUGGAUGGAGGACAUUUCUUUUUAGUGAAUUUAUGGUGAUGAUCUUUUCUCGGGACCUUUGUGCUCUAAGGUUUGGGGAAUGCUGUGGUUAGAUACAGCAGACAAGAUCUGCGUCCUUGUUCUGAAAGAAAUUAACCUCGGUAAGAGUCUAAUGGCU
rnacentral:lncRNA from 1 species